ensembl:snoRNA SNORA70 Small nucleolar RNA SNORA70
AUGUACAAUGGCUGCCAACAGCAGCUUCCUUGGUGGUGUAUGCAACCUGUUGUCUGUAUGGGUUGUCCUAAGGGACGAUGAAGAUAGUA